rnacentral:rRNA from 1 species
UACGUAGGGGGCAAGCGUUGUCCGGAUUUAUUGGGCGUAAAGAGCUCGUAGGCGGUCUGUUGCGUCCGCUGUGAAAACUCGGGGCUUAACCCCCGAGCCUGCAGUGGAUACGGGCAGACUAGAGGUAGGUAGGGGAGAAUGGAAUUCCCGGUGUAGCGGUGAAAUGCGCAGAUAUCGGGGAGGAACACCGGUGGCGAAGGCGGUUCUCUGGGGCCUU